CAACGAAUAUUCCGCAAUGGGCGAAAGCCUGACGGAGCGACGCCGCGUACGGGAGGAAGUCCUUCGGGAUGUAAACCGUAAUAGUCUGUUAACAAGCAACCCGGGCUAACAUCCCGGGAAGUUGAGUCGCAGACGAAAGGGACGGCUAACUCCGUGCCAGCAGCCGCGGUAAGACGGAGGUCCCAAGCGUUGUUCGGAAUCACUGGGCGUAAAGCGCGUGUAGGCGGGUCGGCACGUACCUUGUGAAAUCCCGCAGCUCAACUGAGGAACUGCCCGGGAUACGGCCAGUCUUGAGGUAGGUAGAGGUGCCUGGAACCUUAGGUGGAGCGGUGAAAUGCGUAGAUAUCUAAGGGAACGCCGGUGGCGAAAGCGGGGCACUGGGCCUGUCCUGACGCUAAGACGCGAAAGCGUAGGGAGCAAACG
rnacentral:rRNA from 1 species